GUAGUUGAGUCAUGAACAAAGAAGUGACACAAAUGUUAUUCUGCAAUAAUCAAGUAACCAUUCUCCUGCCACUGAGCCGUUACUCCUGUUUCAACGCAGAGGAUACUCAUUAUCUAGUAUGUGAAAGUAGAAUGGGAAGGAAGCCUGAACAUCUCAAACAGAUAAACUUGCCAUCAAUUUUUGCACAUCCAGCCAAACAGAAGAGUGACAGUGUGCAUGUUUGGAUGAAUAAUCAGCAUUGCCUGAAGGUACAGGACUCAUGGAAGCCAUUGCCUGCAAGUGAAAGUCAUGAUGCUUAA
rnacentral:lncRNA from 1 species